UCUUUCAGUGUAUGGGACGAUGUCCCAACCAGCUGAGCCACCCGGCCAGGGCUGCUCACGUCAUUUAAUGGGAUGGAAAAGCAAAGCCCAGAACGUGUCCUUUCCAACUCGGGCUGCUCACCAAAGCCCCAGGGCCGGCCCCAGAUCUCAGGCCCCCGAGCCCCUCUCACACCAUCGGUGUGAUGAUGGUGGCAGUGAUGGUGGGAAGGCCAAGAUGAUGGCAACUCGGGAAGGAGGUAGGUCAGGUGCGAAGAAGACCUUCUAGAGCAUUCUAGAGCAUGCCACCAUCUUCCAUGUCCUCCUCUUCUGCAAGGUCGUAGGAGGACAGAGCCCUUGUCGGGGUUGCCCAGGAUCCAGAUGCGAGAGUGGAACGGCUCACAGACCCUGGAAGCCCGCGGUCCGGGGUGUAGACCUGCGCUUCCCAAACCUCGGCCUGCAGCACACGGUCCCCGGGGACCUUGCUCCCAUGCAGAUCCCAAUCCAGCAAGUCCGACGCGGGCCUGGAAUUCUGCAUUCCUACCCAGCUCUGCGCAGUGCCAAGGCUGCUGAGCGCGGGACCACAGGGUGGCUUGGCAGCCGUGCAGCUCAAGCCAGCAAAGGCCUCCCAAUGACGCAGGCCCAGGGCGGGGGCUCCGCUAAUUAUUUCAAGAGAAGCUGCAAAGAGGCAUUUGGAAGUGAAAUCGUAUUUUCAAGAGGAAAGGCCACGUCAGCACAGAAGGUGCCACCUGCAAACCAAGGAGAGAGGCCUCCCCAGAAAUCAACCCAGUUGGCACCUUGGUCUCAGACUUCCCGUCUCCAGAAC